AAGGAUGUUCUAAGCCUACUUGAUCCGAGAUGGAUCGACCUUGCUCUGAUACCAACUAUGUAACACCCUAAACCCCAUACGCGUACUUAUUAACUUAAAUAAAUAAACAUGUGGACAUUUAGAGUAUUACAUUUUAAAUGAGAACAUACGAUCAUACAUGAUAUAUUCAUUUACAAAGCAGCGGAAUGAAAAACACAUGUCCUAAAGAUUAAUCAUGCAUUUAUCUCAAAUAUCCAAUUAACCAUUUUUCAUAAUACUCAUCAUAUGAAUUACUCAUGCAUUUCAUAACAUAAAUUUCACAUAUGAAAGUAAGGCUAUCAAAGCCACAUACAUCCGACAUAUAUAAGAUAUAAAGUAAAUAUCAACUUGUCCCGAUGUUACACUACCAGAGCGACACUAGGUACUAUUAUUACAUCCCAAAAUAAAUAAAACAAAAUAAACGGAGAGGCAUCUCGCCAAUCUCCUCGCCAAAAUAAGCAAGCAAGUAAACAACUACUCCUCGACAGCAGUAUCCUUGACCUGGGAACCUGAAUCCCCAACGGUCCAGCACAUACACAAAACAGAGAGUUAGUUAUCAAAAUUCACAUAAAGUGUAAGUAAUCAUGCAUACAAAACACCUUAAUUAAUUAAGCACAAAAACUAAAAUUGUCUCACAUCACAAUUAAAUACAAGAUUAAAUCACAAAUAAUCAAGUACAAUUGAUUAAUGUCAAUAUCAUUCAUCUCCUAAAUGCAAACUAAUGUCACAACAAUGAAAUGUUCUCUUAACAUUUACUAAGUGCAUGUGGUACCGUCUAGCUCAACUAUAUUGGACCAACCGAAUCCAAAUCUCAACUAUCUCAACAAUAUCAUCACAAAGGAUGCUCAACUAUUAUGCAUCAAUGGAAUGCAUGAAUGAUCAAGUACCAAACAUAUGAUACUACUCAACUAUAAAUCAUCAUGAUAAAUGGAUAACAUAAUCCAAUAAUACUCAUCAUCAUGUCUCAACUAUAAUAUCUCAUUCAUCAACACAACAAUCAAUUAUUACAAAACAAUUAACAAGUAUACACUUAUUAAAUUACUCAUAAACAUCUUUUCGAAACCUAAUAAAUACUCCCAAGUUAUGCUUCAAUGAAUGAGAAGUAAAUUCAAUCAAAUAAGCAUACGAAAUACAUCAAAUAUAUAUAAAGUAUGUCAACAUAUAAGCAAACUGUAUAAACCAAGCCUUAUCUCAGAAAACUAACCCCGGAAAUGGAAUCUACGCGAAAAACUGUGGAAAAUAGGUUACGGGUGCAUAAGUCAACAAAAGUUAAAAAAAAUUAAACAAACAGUAGCGUCGAUCAUAGCGUCGACCAGUGUUCGACGCAAAUCUGCAGAAUUGCGUUUUGGACCCGGGGUUCCUCAAAUAAUCACUUAAAACCCAGGAAAAUGAAGUUUAAAGGUUCUAAAACACAUACCAAUCAAUUAGUUAACUUAUAGCUUAUUCAAAAGCACUUAAAACAACUUAAAAUCAUCAAACAACUCAUUAAUUCAUGGAUUUUUACUUAUUAGUCAUAAUAAAGCAUGAAGAAUCAUAUAUCAACACAUAAAGCUUUGGAAUUAAAUCAUAUUCUCAAAUCCCCAACCAAAACCCAAAUAAGAUGAAAAGAGUUUGGGAAUGGAGGAAAAGGUUUCCUCCCCUCUCAUUAAGCUUGUCUCAAAGAAUUUCAUAACCACUCUCUUACCUUAACAAUUUGUUGGAAACUUUGGUCUUCCUCUUCAAUUCCUAAGCUUGUUCUCUCACUCUUAAUUUUUCUUCAAGAACUCUCCAAAACCCUUCUUUUACGUUUUUCCCUUUUUAUGACCAAAUACUCAUAUUUAUUAACUUUCUCAUCUAAACCUAAUUUCAUUACCUCACUACUUAAACAACCCUUUUU
rnacentral:lncRNA from 1 species